rnacentral:rRNA from 1 species
UAGGGAAUAUUGGACAAUGGGCGAAAGCCUGAUCCAGCCAUGCCGCGUGGAUGAAGAAGGCCCUAGGGUUGUAAAGUCCUUUCACCGCCGAGGAUAAUGACGGUAGGCGGAGAAGAAGCCCCGGCUAAUUUCGUGCCAGCAGCCGCGGUAAUACGAAAGGGGCUAGCGUUGUUCGGAAUUACUGGGCGUAAAGCGCGCGUAGGCGGUUUGCCAAGUUGGAGGUGAAAUCCCGGGGCUCAACCCCGGAACUGCCUUCAAAACUGGCAGACUAGAGGCCGUGAGAGGAGAGUGGAAUUCCGAGUGUAGAGGUGAAAUUCGUAGAUAUUCGUAAGAACACCAGUGGCGAAGGCGACUCUCUGGCACGGUUCUGACGCUGAGGUGCGAAAGCGUGGGGAGCAAACAGGAUUAGAUACC